UCCUGCGUAAACAUGAAUCUUGUAAUAUAAAAAAUUACCAAAAGAAAAAACUGACUCAUAACCCAUCUUCCCAUUCACGAUAUAAUGUCUAUGUGAAUAUAAAAAGUUGGUUUGUUACCUCCAUUGUACAACAACUCAGUGAAACUUAUUCUUGCUGGAAAUGACUGAUACAUUUACUCUAAUGCACACAACUCAUCACCUGCUUUACCAGAAAUGAUUGACACUGACCUGUUCUGGUUGAAAAACAACUAUGCUGUGUGUAAUUCCAAUAACCUUUUGUCCGAUCUGCUGCCAAACACUAGGAAAGAGGCUGGAUAUAAUGACAACCCACUAAAAGGGGAUAUCUGUGAGAGCCAGGAAACCCUGCCCUAAUUUAUUCUCUUACAAAAAAACUCCAACAAUUGAUCAAUAUUCUGACAUUACAGAAUCCCUCUGCACUGUUAAAGUUGAUCCACAUUGUGUAAGCAAAAAUGGCGUGGUACUGUUUCUUUGUGAAGGAAUGUGAGCCUGAGCCUAGGGUUUCUUCAGAGGGGAACAAGUUUAUAUGGCUGGUGGUAUUGCUGGUGUUACUACUGUCUCUGAUGCUCUGUACAAACAAACCUACGCCUCGUCUACAUAGACUGCAUUGUCAGGCGCGUUGUCAGGCGCGCUGCAAAUGUGGUCAUGCACAUUGAACCAAAAUAAAAAUACAAAAAUCAGGGUAUGUAGUAUUUUCCUCCUGGUAUUCUGUGUUCUUUUGGGCAUGAAGAAUAAUAGCUUACUGUUUUUAGAUUGUGACUUUUCUAGCAGGGGAGGGUUUUCAGUUUCUGUUCAGAGGGUAUAUUGAUUAGAUAUUGAAGGGUUGUAGUUUAAUUGGUAUGAAUUUAGUUCAUUAAGUGUAAUUUUUUCGAUAAAUGAUAAAAAUUAGGUUUACUGUUUGUGAUUCUAUGUACAAACAAGCCUAUGUCCUGUACAUAUAGACUGCAUUGUCAGACGUGCUGCAAAUGUGAUCAUGUACAUUGACAGAAAAUAAGAAUUUCAGGCAGGGGAUUGCUUUCAGUUUCUGUUCAGAGGGGGUACAUUGUCUGGGUAUCGAAGGGUUGCAGUUUAAUUGAUGAGAAUGAUUGUGUACUUAGUUCAUUAAGUGUAAUUUUUGAUAAAUGGUGAGGGUUAGGUUUACUGUUUUGAUGAUUUUGAAGGAAUGGAUCUCUCUAUUUGUGAUAAUUUAGUUAGAAAAAAUCUCUGAUAUAUUAUUACAAGAUAAAGAUAGCCACAAUAUAGCAGAUUCUUAUGAUUUGUAUCUUUA